AUUGAACGCUGGCGGCAUGCCUUACACAUGCAAGUCGAACGGCAGCACGGGUGCUUGCACCUGGUGGCGAGUGGCGAACGGGUGAGUAAUACAUCGGAACAUGUCCUGUAGUUGGGGAUAGCCCGGCGAAAGCCGGAUUAAUACCGCAUACGAUCUACGGAUGAAAGCGGGGGACCUUCGGGCCUCGCGCUAUAGGGUUGGCCGAUGGCUGAUUAGCUAGUUGGUGGGGUAAAGGCCUACCAAGGCGACGAUCAGUAGCUGGUCUGAGAGGUCGACCAGCCACACUGGGACUGAGACACGGCCCAGACUCCUACGGGAGGCAGCAGUGGGGAAUUUUGGACAAUGGGCGAAAGCCUGAUCCAGCAAUGCCGCGUGUGUGAAGAAGGCCUUCGGGUUGUAAAGCACUUUUGUCCGGAAAGAAAUCCUUGGCCCUAAUACGGUCGGGGGAUGACGGUACCGGAAGAAUAAGCACCGGCUAACUACGUG
rnacentral:rRNA from 1 species